rnacentral:rRNA from 1 species
GACGAACGCUGGCGGCGUGCUUAACACAUGCAAGUCGAACGGAAAGGCCCUGCUUCUGUGGGGUGCUCGAGUGGCGAACGGGUGAGUAACACGUGAGUAACCUGCCCUUGACUUUGGGAUAACUUCAGGAAACUGGGGCUAAUACCGGAUAGGAGCUCCUGCUGCAUGGUGGGGGUUGGAAAGUUUCGGCGGUUGGGGAUGGACUCGCGGCUUAUCAGCUUGUUGGUGGGGUAGUGGCUUACCAAGGCUUUGACGGGUAGCCGGCCUGAGAGGGUGACCGGCCACAUUGGGACUGAGAUACGGCCCAGACUCCUACGGGAGGCAGCAGUGGGGAAUAUUGCACAAUGGGCGGAAGCCUGAUGCAGCAACGCCGCGUGCGGGAUGACGGCCUUCGGGUUGUAAACCGCUUUCGCCUGUGGCGAAGCGUGAGUGACGGUAAUGGGUAAAGAAGCACCGGCUAACUACGUG